AAGAUUGCAAUGAUGAUGCAAUUUUUUGUGGACUAGAGUUUCUGAUCUGGGUUUUCCCAGUAGUUGAAGACUAACCCUUGGCUGUCUGAGUAACCUU
rfam:Gossypium raimondii chromosome 13, whole genome shotgun sequence.